rnacentral:rRNA from 1 species
GUGCUUAACACAUGCAAGUCGAGUGCGCGUCCGUAGCAAUACGGAUGGCGCACGGCGCACGGGUGCGUAACACGUGGGCAAUCUGCCCUUCGAUGGGGAAUAACUCCGGGAAACCGAAGCUAAUUCCGCAUAACAUUCCCGGGACUCCGGUUCGGGGAAUCAAAGCAGUGAUGCGUCGGAGGAGGAGCCCGCGCCCGAUUAGCUAGUUGGCAGGGUAACGGCCUACCAAGGCUAUGAUCGGUAGCUGGUCUGAGAGGAUGGCCAGCCACACUGGAACUGAGACACGGUCCAG